rnacentral:lncRNA from 1 species
CCUGUACCCACUUCAACGACCUGUUCCCCAAGAUACCUCAGGCCCUCUAGCUACCCGUUCACCAGAUACAAACAAGGGAUAUGAUAAAUUCAUUCACAUUUCGGUGGUUUCAAUUUCAAGAAAUUUGCUUCUCCCCAGACGGCGUGCAUUUGCACAAAAACAUUGAAGCAAGAAAGUAAUGUUGUGUAACUCAAAAAAGUAAGUCACAGGCUGGGCGCGGUGGCUCACGCCUGUAAUCCCAGCACUUUGGGAGGCCGAGGCGGGUGGAUCACGAGGUCAAGAGAUCGAGACCAUCCUGGCCAACAUGGUGAAACCCCGUCUCUACUAAAAAUACAAAAAGUAGCUGGGCGUGGUGCCGCGUGCCUGUAGUCCCAGCUACUCAGGAGGCUGAGGCAGGAUAAUCGCUUGAAUCCGGGAGGUGGAGGUUGCAGUGAGCCGAGAUCGCGCCACUGCACUCCAGCCUGGCGACAGAGCAAGACUGCGUCUCAAAAAAAAAAAAAAAAAAAAGGCUGGAGUGCAACGGCACAAUCUCGGCUCACCGCAACCUCCGCCUCCCGGGUUCAAGCGAUUCUGCUGCCUCAGCCUCCUGAGUAGCUGGGAUUACAGGCAUGUGCCACCACGCCCGGCUAAUUUUGUAUUUUUAGUACAGAUAGGGUUUCUCCAUAUUGGUCAGGCUGGUCUCGAACUCCCAACCUCAGGUGAUCCGCAUGCCUCAGCCUCCCAAAGUUCUGGGAUUACAGGCAUGAGCCACCGCACCCGGCCAUUUGUAUGUAAUUUUCUAUAUUUAUUGAAAUGCAUUUUAAGUAAUAUGAAAGCAUUUUUCUCCUUACAAUGGAAAAACCAACUUGAUUUUACAUUUAUUUAUAUAACCUGACUUAAUUCUAUGUAAGUCAAGUGAAAAAGGAAACAACUGCUCUGUGGAAUCAACCUGAAGAUGUCUAAUUUUUCCUCUGAUGCCACCAGACUUAAAGCAGUUCACGAUCCUCUCUACAAAGAAGUAUAUUUAGGUUCUCCCUCUCCCUCUCCCUCUCCCUCUCCCCACGGUCUCCCUCUGAUGCCGAGCCGAAGCUGGACUGUACUGCUGCCAUCUCGGCUCACUGCAGCCUCCCUGCCUGAUUCUCCUGCCUCAGCCUGCCCAGUGCCUGCGAUUGCAGGUGCGCGCCGCCACGCCUGACUGGUUUUCGUAUUUUUUUGGUGGAGACGGGGUUUCGCUGUGUUGGCCAGGCUGGUCUCCAGCUCCUAACCGCGAGUGAUCCGCCAGCCUUGGCCUCCCGAGGUGCCAGGAUGGCAGACGGAGUCGCGUUCACUCAGUGCUCAAUGGUGCCCAGGCUGGAGUGCAGUGGCAUGAUCUCGGCUCGCUACAACCUCCACCUCCCAGCUGCCUGCCUUGGCCCCCCAAAGUGCCGAGAUUGCAGCCUCUGCCUGGCCACCACCCCGUCUGGGAAGUGAGGAGCGUCUCUGCCUGGCCGCCCAUCGUCUGGGAUGUGAGGAGCCUCUCUGACUGGCUGCCCAGUCUGGAAAGUGAGGAGCGUCUCUGCCCGGCCGCCAUCCCAUCUAGGAAGUGAGGAGCGUCUCUGCCAGGCCGCCCAUCGUCUGAGAUGUGGGGAGCGCCUCUGCCCUGCCGCCCCGUCUGGGAUGUGAGGAGCGUCUCUGCCCGGCUGACCCGUCUGAGAAGUGAGGAGACCCUCUGCCUGGCAACCGCCCCGUCUGAGAACCCAAAGACUAGAAUUCCAUUUCUAAACCCAGCCCAGCAGCCGGAAGUCAUGAAGCAGUCAACCUGCCUGGACAUCCAGCUACGCUCUGCUGCGCCAUUCUAUCCACCCAUCAAGACUCCCCUCCCUUCUACUGUAUGUCACCAUAAGUUUUCGUGCCUGUUCUGCAUGCUCAAUUGAACUUCCCUCUAUCAGGUCACUCAAGCCAUUCUCCUGUUCCCACUCUAACCUGCUUUGGAAUCUAUGGCUGCCUAAUGACACUUACAAACAAGUACAUUCAAGGUCAAACAUCCUCAGGUCAAAUUCGUGGCAAGAGGGAUGAUCUUUUAAACCUACAUUUUUGGGCCGGGUGAGGUGGAUCACACCUGUAAUCCCAGCACUUUGGGAGACUGAGGGGGCAGUUAUCUUCUAUCAAAGAGUGAGAGAUGCCUUGCCCUGAUCAUUCCUAUUGCUAACAUAAAUUCCAUUGAGUUCUUAGGCCUAAGAGGAAAGAAAGUAAAGAGAAGAAGAAUGGACUGCACAAUGAAGCUAUCAGAUCAGCCCACGUUGGGAUGGGGUCAAUAGAUGCAAAAUGAACACCAUUCUUCAAAGUAAUCAUCUAACAGCAUGGAUAACCCUCCUAAAAGCCAACUGGGAUUGAAUUACUCCUCUGCCAAGAACCCUCUGCUGCACCUUAUCCAAGGCCCACCAUAAAAUGAUGCCAGCCCACCUCACCCAAAACCUCUUCCAGAAAGUCCCAGCUCCACCCUGGUUCUCUCCUCCACAGAUGUCAGACCUGUAUGUGGUCUGAUGGCUCUCUCAGCCUCCUUCAUUCUCUCCCCAUUUCUGCCACAUUUUCCCCAAUAAAUCUUGUGUGUGUCUAAUUCCAUUUUGGUGUCUGCAUCUCAGAUGAUCUGAACUAACACAAAUGGAGAGUGAAAAACAAAAAAAAAAGUCUGGCCACAUUUAUAAAUUCAUCCCAGGCUGCAAAGAGUUAGACAGCACUUCCCCAAAGAAAACUGUCACGUAAAACAUUCAAAGAUUCUCAGUUUAGCCAUCAUCUAGCCAGUUCUUCCCACUGAUCACAUUUUCCCAAUUUAUAGAUAGGAAUACUGAGCCUCAAGAGGUUAAGUAAAUCGCCUGAAGAUUAUACAGCUAGUAAAUGAUGAAAUCAGGGCUCUUGACUCAAAGUCCCAGUGUCAUCCAACUACACUUGAGUGGGCUUGAAACGAAUCCUAAGAGUUUUGUAAAUGGUAUAUCAUUAUCUAACAUAAGGUACUAUGAACCACUGCCAUCAUCAUCCUCAUUUCUCUCUGAGGAUCUUUGCAGUAAAGUGAAGGUAGUAGUAGAUCUGUCAUACUGAAUGUUGAAGUCAGAAUAAUGGCUCCCCAAAGAUGCCCAAACCCUAACCCCAAACCCUGUGAUUAUAUAACCUUACAUAGCAAAAUGGACUUUGCAGAUGUGAUUAAGUUUAGGAUUCUGAGAUAGAGAGAUGACCCUGGAUUAUUCCAGGGUCCCAGUGUAGUCACAAGUGUCCUUAUGAGAGGAAAGCAGGAGCACCAGAGUCAAAAGAGAUACAAGGCUAGAGGGUGAGAGGGAGCCCUGAAGAUGCCACUCUGCUGCUUUGAAGAUAGAAGGGGCUACAAGCCAAGGAACACAGGCAGCCUCUAAAAGCUGGAAAAGUUGCUGGGCGUGGUGGCUCAUGCCUGUAAUCCCAGCACUUUGGGAGGCCAAGGCGGGUGGAUCACG